GACGAACGCUGGCGGCGUGCUUAACACAUGCAAGUCGAACGGAAAGGCCCUGCUUUUGUGGGGUGCUCGAGUGGCGAACGGGUGAGUAACACGUGAGUAACCUGCCCUUGACUUUGGGAUAACUUCAGGAAACUGGGGCUAAUACCGGAUAGGAGCUCCUGCUGCAUGGUGGGGGUUGGAAAGUUUCGGCGGUUGGGGAUGGACUCGCGGCUUAUCAGCUUGUUGGUGGGGUAGUGGCUUACCAAGGCUUUGACGGGUAGCCGGCCUGAGAGGGUGACCGGCCACAUUGGGACUGAGAUACGGCCGAGGCUCCUACGGGAGGCAGCAGUGGGGAAUAUUGCACAAUGGGCGGAAGCCUGAUGCAGCAACGCCGCGUGCGGAAUGACGGCCUUCGGGUUGUAAACCGCUUUCGCCUGUGACGAAGCGUGAGUGACGGUAAUGGGUAAAGAAGCACCGGCUAACUACG
rnacentral:rRNA from 1 species